UGCCCAGCAACUCCUUCCCCUACCUCCUCGUGGUACUGGCCGGGGUACGAGUAACCUUGGGGAAGA
rnacentral:ribozyme from 1 species